rnacentral:snoRNA from 1 species
GGGACCAAUCAUGAGAACAUGUCAUGAAACAAGGAUUUGAUUAAUUUCAUUCUGUGUACUUGAGAGUCAAA